rnacentral:tRNA from 1 species
AGAAACUUAGGAUCGACCAACAAACCAGGAGCCUUCAAAGCCCCAAACAAGAGAUAAAACCUCUUAGUUUCUG